rnacentral:rRNA from 1 species
CCUACGGGGGGCAGCAGUGGGGAAUAUUGCACAAUGGGGGAAACCCUGAUGCAGCGACGCCGCGUGAGUGAAGAAGUAUUUCGGUACGUAAAGCUCUAUCAGCAGGGAAGAAAAAAAGUCCUUUGGACUUUGGACGGUACCUGACUAAGAAGCCCCGGCUAACUACGUGCCAGCAGCCGCGGUAAUACGUAGGGGGCAAGCGUUAUCCGGAUUUACUGGGUGGAAAGGGAGCGUAGACGGCAGCGCAAGUCUGGAGUGAAAUGACGGGGCCCAACCCCGGAACUGCUUUGGAAACUGUGCAGCUUGAGUGCAGGAGAGGUAAGCGGAAUUCCUAGUGUAGCGGUGAAAUGCGUAGAUAUUAGGAGGAACACCAGUGGCGAAGGCGGCUUACUGGACUGUAACUGACGUUGAGGCUCGAAAGCGUGGGGAGCAAACAGGAUUAGAUACCCGAGUAGUC